GCUUCCCUCACCAGGCAUCCUCGUGGAAGUGACAUCGUCUUUAAACCCCGCGUGGCAAUCCCUGACUCACCGCCGUGAUGCCCAGGGAAGAAAGGGCGACCUGGAAGUCCAACUACUUCCUUAAGAUCAUCCAACUAUUGGAUGAUUAUCCGAAAUGUUUCAUCGUGGGAGCAGACAAUGUGGGCUCCAAGCAGAUGCAGCAGAUUCGCAUGUCCCUUUGUGGGAAGGCCGUGGUGCUGAUGGGCAAGAACACCAUGAUGCGCAAGGCCAUCAGAGGGCACCUGGAAAACAACCCAGCUCUGGAGAAACUGCUGCCUCAUAUCCGGGGGAAUGUGGGCUUCGUGUUCACCAAGGAGGACCUCAGUGAGAUCAGGGACAUGUUGCUGGCCAAUAAGGUGCCAGCUGCUGCCCAUGCUGGUGCCAUCGCCCCAUGUGAAGUCACUGUGCCAGCCCAGAACACUGGCCUCGGGCCCGAGAAGACCUCCUUUUCCCAAGCUUUAGGUAUCACCACUAAAAUCUCCAGGGGAACCAUUGAAAUCCUGAGUGAUGUGCAGCUGAUCAAGACUGGAGACAAAGUGGGAGCCAGCGAAGCCACGCUGCUGAACAUGCUCAACAUCUCCCCCUUUUCCUUUGGGCUGGCCAUCCAGCAGGUGUUCGACAAUGGCAGCACCUACAACCCUGAAGUGCAUGACAUCACAGAGGAAAGUCUGCAUUCUCGCUUCCUGGAGGGUGUCCGCAAUGUUGCCAGUGUCUGUCUGCAGAUUGGCUACCCAACUGUUGCAUCAGUACCCCAUUCUAUCAUCAGCGGGUACAAAUGAGUCCUGGCCUUGUAUGCAGAGACAGAUUACACCUUCCCACUUGCUGAAAAGGUCAAGGCCUUCUUGGCUGAUCCAUCUGCCUUUGUGGCUGCUGCCCCUGUGGCCGCUGCCACUAUGGCUGCUCCUGCUGCUGCUGCUGCUGCAGUCCCAGCUAAGGUUGAAGCCAAGGAAGAGUCGGAGGAGUUGGACGAGGAUAUGGGAUUUGGUCUCUUUGAUUAAUUACCAAAAAGCAACCAACUUAGCCAGCUUUAUAUGCAAAACAAGGAAAUAAAGUCUUGCUUGU